CUUGUCAGUGAUGAUUUACCAUUGGUUCGAGUUUAACGACCAUGAGAAUACCUCACAUGCACUACCAUCUGAGACAAA